CAGCCGCCGCGGUAAUACGUAGGGUGCAAGCGUUAAUCGGAAUUACUGGGCGUAAAGCGUGCGCAGGCGGUUAUAUAAGUCAGAUGUGAAAUCCCCGGGCUCAACCUGGGAACUGCAUUUGAGACUGUAUGGCUAGAGUGUGUCAGAGGGGGGUAGAAUUCCACGUGUAGCAGUGAAAUGCGUAGAUAUGUGGAGGAAUACCGAUGGCGAAGGCAGCCCCCUGGGAUAACACUGACGCUCAUGCACGAAAGCGUGGGGAGCAAACAGGAUUAGAUACCCGUGUAGUCCCUGUCUCUUUACA
rnacentral:rRNA from 1 species